ACCUCAAAAAAAGAAAAAGAAAAAAAGGCGCCACACGAGCACCGGCGAUUGGCUGGUGGCUCCUCGCCGCCAUGGCGCCAUCUCUCGGUGGCCGGAUCCUCCCUCGCGGCGGCGCUGGCGCGUGCUUGGCUCCUGACCAGCGGAUGAAUGGAGUGGCGGACUGGUGGCAAGUGGAAGCAGCGAUCGGUCUCUAUAUGCUUGUGGAUUCGCCCAGGUGGACUGGAAUGCAUAGCUUAAGCAGCAAUGGCAAUAUAGCAUAUUAGCGAGUAACGGACUACUUGCCGACAAUCUGGGCAAAUAGAUGAGGGAACACAUGAUGUUAUGAGCAACUUCAGUGCAUCUAUGUUUAUAUUGAAAUUUGAGGUGAAGACUGUUUAAGAGAAGUUGCAUGAAACAGUUGUGUAAGGGAAUAAUAGAAGCAUGAGAUAUCUCAAUCUUAUAGCAGAAAUUAUCUUCAGGUUAUUUUAUACUGACGGAGAUGAGCUUAAGAAAGAAAGGAUGAUCACCUGAAAUACAUGGAGUUAGCACACCGUCACCAAUAACCAUUGAUGUUGCUAGAAUUGUCACUAGGAAAAGUAUGACCUUAAAUUUCGGGCUGUUUUCCAUCUUUUCCUUAAUCCAAUGAGCCCGCUUGACACGAUUCGUAGGGGACUCUAACUUGUAGUGAGAGACUGUUGCAUCUUCAGCCUGCUGGUUUGGUAUCAAGCUAAUCCUAGCAUACCGAGAUAUCAAGGAAUAAAGUGCAAAUGUUCCGCCUACAAAGGUUGUGAAUUCAUAAGACAUGACAAACUCUCACAUGAACAAAAUAUUGUUUGCAUGCAUAUGGUCUUUUAAGUACUUAUCACAUGUUUUGGAUUUUCCUUUAUGGACCUAAGUGCUUAAUGCUCAGACCCUAGCACUUUUAAUGAUUCUUAGUACCCUAUAAGAUGCUGUCUAAACCUAUGCAGUGGGAUUGUGGGAAUAUUUAUGCUACUAUUUAUUUUCUAUGCUUUGCUCCUAUGGCCAUUCGCUUCUUUAUAUUUUUUAACAGAAACACUGGCUGUCUAAUCAGCACAAUAUUUUCUAAUUUUUAAAAGUCUUCUCUGUAAACAUGCAAUUUCUGUCAAGAAGAUAACUGGAAGGUAUUUACUUACCAUCGCCGUUGUCAUUAGCUCUCAAGACAAUGAAACAAUAUUUCAUCAAUGGAAGGAGAAGUACAGUAUAGAUUAUCAAGGACAUGACACCAAGGAGGUCAUCUGUGUCCUUGAUCCCACCAGUAAAGGUGCUGGAGAACACAUAGAGGGGUGAAGUUCCCAUGUCCCCAUAAACCACACCUAGGCUCUGGAAGGCCAAGUGCAGUGUCGUCGCCCAGCCAACCUGCUUUGCGAGGAAGUACCCAUCAUAACAGGAAUCGAGAUGGAUGCAGUUCCCUUGCUUAUAUACUGUAAGAAAAUGAAGAUAUCUGUCGAACCGAGGAAGAGAGCAAGGGAAGAACAGACCUUGGCUGCAUAGCUGUGGCCACCAGGAAUCUUCCCGGCCUCCAUAUGCAGGGAGUCGAACCUCUGCAGCCUCCUUGGCGGCGACGGCGGCACCUUCACCGAUGCAAACGCAGAGCCCGCAGCACCCCCUUCGGCAGCUCCAUUGCCGUUUGCCUUCAGAGGCUCAGCCAUCGUCAAGGCACACACCGGGUGGGCCCAGGCAUGACAACAGGUUCGUUACUUUUCUUUGCAAUCGCGUGUGAUACUGUGAUCCGAACUUGUCUGUGGUGCUGGGGUAUGAACGUGGGAUCCUCGUGCUGCAACCAACAGACUUCUCACUGAAUGCUGGUGAAGUCAAAUAUUGUUAUCGUUCGCUUUAGUCGGUCUCACCGGAGCCGUCUUUCUACGGCGCAGUUGGGAAUCUUGUGAUCUUGAACAGUAAGCUAACCAGGGAAGGUGGCUACGGGGGAUGGCACGGUGACUUUUCUGCACGAGCUUCUCUUGUCACCUGUGACUUGUGAGCGAGAGACGUCUCAACCAGAAGCCAGCCACGCGUGUCAGUCAUCUCGCCAUCAGACCCGUCAAGGGCUUUGAACAGUGUGUAACAGACGGCCCAAAUCGGCAGCCAAAACGAUUGACCGCCGGUGCCGUGCGUCCGACUCGAGCAGCCAUUCUAGGCGAGCGGAAGAUGACAAGGCAACAGCAGGCCCGCCCGGUGGUUUCAACUACCUUUCAUGCGAUGCGAUUCUCCCAAGGCGGAAGGCGGGCUUGACCGGAUGCACUGACUGACCAUGUAUCAUGUACGCAUGCUUUCUCGCGCACGCAGGAUCUUCCCGGAGAAGGGUCGUCCUUGAUGGUGGCAUCAAGUGAUAGGCCACUUGCCUCACCAAAGCGGCCUAGCUCUUUUGACCGCAUGCAUGCACAUGCGCGUGAUCUGAUCACAUCACAGAGGUACUCUCUUUAUCGAUUGUCACUCGGCUUUGGCCGCUUCUCCUCCUGCCAAAACUUUCCAGGCUUAGUCUCUAGUGCGUGUCACGCGGGCGGUAGAUUAGAGGGAGCAAGUAAACGCCGCAACAUCACUGCUGCUGCUAUGUUCCACUGCCGCUCUGCCAGCGUAGCUAGUAUGUACUAGGUUUUAGUGGUUCAUUGGGAUGGUAAUCAAGUGUACGCGUGAAUCUUUCACUUCGAUAUUUCAGUGGUAAAUACAUCGUUUUUCAA